rnacentral:rRNA from 1 species
UCUACGUAGCAGAGUUUGAUCCUGGCUCAGAUUGAACGCUGGCGGCAUGCCUUACACAUGCAAGUCGAACGGUAACAGGUUAAGCUGACGAGUGGCGAACGGGUGAGUAAUAUAUCGGAACGUGCCCAGUCGUGGGGAUGAACAUGCUCGAAGGAGCAGCUAAUACCGCAUACGACCUGAGGGUGAAAGCGGGGGAUCGCAAGACCUCGCGCGAUUGGAGCGGCCGAUAUCAGAUUAGGUAGUUGGUGGGGUAAAGGCCCACCAAGCCAACGAUCUGUAGCUGGUCUGAGAGGACGACCAGCCACACUGGGACUGAGACACGGCCCAGACUCCUACGGGAGGCAGCAGUGGGGAAUUUUGGACAAUGGGCGCAAGCCUGAUCCAGCCAUGCCGCGUGCGGGAAGAAGGCCUUCGGGUUGUAAACCGCUUUUGUCAGGGAAGAAAAGGUUCUGGUUAAUACCUGGGACUCAUGACGGUACCUGAAGAAUAAGCACCGGCUAACUACGUGCCAGCAGCCGCGGUAA